rnacentral:rRNA from 1 species
GGCGAACGCUGGCGGCGCGCUUAACACAUGCAAGUCGAGCGAUGAAAUUUCGACAGAUCCCUUCGGGGUGAAGAUGAAAUGGAUUAGCGGCGGACGGGUGAGUAACACGUGAGUAACCUGCCUUUGACAUUGGGAUAGCCUCGGGAAACUGGGAUUAAUACCAAAUGACACUAACUGAUCACAUGAUCAAUUAGUCAAAGAAAUUCGGUCAAAGAUGGACUCGCGGCUGAUUAGCUAGUUGGUGAGGUAACGGCCCACCAAGGCGACGAUCAGUAGCCGGGCUGAGAGGGUGGUCGGCCACAUUGGAACUGAGACGCGGUCCAAACUCCUACGGGAGGCAGCAGUGGGGAAUAUUGCACAAUGGGGGAAACCCUGAUGCAGCGACGCCGCGUGAGCGAAGAAGGCCUUCGGGUCGUAAAGCUCUUUUAUGAGGGAAGAUAAUGACGGUACCUCAAGAAAAAGCCCCGGCUAACUACGUG